rnacentral:lncRNA from 1 species
AAUCAAAUUCAGAACUUCUUAAAUGUCCAUGCAUAAAAAAAAGUAAAGCAAGACUGACAUAUCAUGCCAAUUAAUAUUAGACAUUAUGUAUACUCAGAAAUGGUUACCUAUGAUUCAUUAAUUGCCUCUGUUCAAAAGCAAAGGCAAAUACUUCAGAGACAGUUGUAUUUAAUUUGUUUUUAAACUAUAUGAAUGAACAAGGCUACUUCAUGUCAAAUAAAAUACAUUUAUAACAAAGUUGUACACAUGUAAGUGUAAGGUCAUGGAUUAAUUGUGUGCAUACCUAAAACCCAACAAUGCAUAUUUUGUCAGUGUGAUGGUACUGGGGGGGAGGCAUUAGGGUCAAUUCAAUGCAGAUAAGAUCUUUACAUUGCAUUCCUGGCAAUUAACUAUGUUCAGGCACUUAUAAAAUAAUUUUUUAAAAAAGCCAAGCAUUCUUCUAUGACUCAAGGUAAAGAGCCUAGAAAUAGACAACAGCUACAAACCAGGAGGAGGUUUGCAACAGAGAAAUGUCUGCUUUCACUUUGAAUUUGAACCUCCCAGAUUUCUAAAUUGGAAAAGAUUUAUUGCUGCUUAAGUCAUCUGGGUAUUUUGUUACAGCAACAUCAACAGAGACACAUAUGAAAGGAAAAACCAGUAGAGAAUGAGGAAUGGAAAAUCUGAAGGGGCUGAGGAAAGUAACGGAGUGAUAAAGAUUUCAGGAGGACGAUGAGGAGUCAGUGCAUCAGUCUUUUUAUGCUUCCUAAUUACUUUGAAUCUGUGAUAACAGUGCAUCAUUGACUGCUGUCAAGAGAAACUGAUGGGAUGGAGGCCAGUCUGCGUUUCAUUACGAAACCUCUGAUUGAUUAUAUGAAGUGAAUUAUUUGUUGUUCAGAAGCAAAGCAGGAUAAUUUGAAAAUGUUGCCUAACACAGAGGUGAUCACUUGACCUGGCCUUCCAGCAUCCUCCUGGGUGUGAUCUGAAAUAUAGGGGAUUGAUCACUCUGUCCGAAGAGGGAUUUUCCAGAACACAUGGGCAAAUGCCUUCUACCACAAACCCUGCAACAGUCACACAGGCAACCAGGAUACCCUCAGUAUACUUAUCAAAAAGGGAUACCAUUGGUCAAAUCUAGCAAAAGCUUCAUC